CCUACGGGAGGCAGCAGUGGGGAAUUUUGGACAAUGGGGGCAACCCUGAUCCAGCCAUGCCGCGUGCGGGAAGAAGGCCUUCGGGUUGUAAACCGCUUUCGGACGGAAAGAAAUCGGGUGGGCUAAUACCCUGCCUGGAUGACGGUACCGUAAGAAGAAGCACCGGCUAACUACGUGCCAGCAGCCGCGGUAAUACGUAGGGUGCGAGCGUUAAUCGGAAUUACUGGGCGUAAAGCGUGCGCAGGCGGUUUCUUAAGCCAGACGUGAAAUCCCCGGGCUUAACCUGGGAACUGCGUUUGGAACUGGGAGACUAGAGUGUGUCAGAGGGAGGUGGAAUUCCGCGUGUAGCAGUGAAAUGCGUAGAGAUGCGGAGGAACACCGAUGGCGAAGGCAGCCUCCUGGGAUAACACUGACGCUCAUGCACGAAAGCGUGGGGAGCAAACAGGAUUAGAUACCCUGGUAGUCCACGCCCUAAACGAUGUCAACUGGCUGUUGGGAGAGAAAUCUUUCAGUAGCGAAGCUAACGCGUGAAGUUGACCGCCUGGGGA
rnacentral:rRNA from 1 species